CCUGUGUGUACCUUACCGUGUUUUCCUGAACUGUGUGUACCUUACCGUGUUUUCCUGUGUGUACCUUACCGUGUUUUCCUGAACUGUGUGUACCUUACCGUGUUUUCCUGAACUGUGUGUACCUUACCGUGUUUUCCUGUGUGUACCUUACCGUGUUUUCCUGAACUGUGUGUACCUUACCGUGUUUUCCUGAACUGUGUGUACCUUACCGUGUUUUCCUG
rnacentral:lncRNA from 1 species